rnacentral:rRNA from 1 species
GAUUAACGCUAGCGGCAGGCCUAAUACAUGCAAGUUGAACGGUAACAGGUCCAGCAAUGGAUGCUGACGAGUAGCACACGGGUGCGUAACACGUAUGCAACCUACCUUUGACUGGGAGAUAGCCCCGAGAAAUCGGGAUUAAUACCCCAUAAUAUUAUGGAGAGGCAUCUCUUUAUAAUUAAAGCUCCGGCGGUCUUAGAUGGGCAUGCGCGACAUUAGCUAGUUGGUGAGGUAACGGCUCAUCAAGGCUACGAUGUCUAGGGGUUCUGAGAGGAUUCACCCCCACACUGGUACGGAGACACGGACCAAACUCCUACGGGAGGCAGCAGUAAGGAAUAUUGGUCAAUGGGCGGAAGCCUGAACCAGCCAUGCCGCGUGCAGGAAGACGGCCCUAUGGGUUGUAAACUGCUUUUGUACGGGAAAAAACCUCUGGUCGUGAACCGGAGCUGAUGGUACCGUAAGAAUAAGCAUCGGCUAACUCCGUGCCAGCAGCCGCCGUAACAC